GUCAACUGUUAAAUCUGAGGAUUGAGCAGUCCAAAGGCCAGGGAUGGGCAGGCCCAUCUUCCCUUCCUGCUGCAAAGCCUCUGCUAAGGCUCAGGAGCUGCUCCUUCUCUGCCUGUGAUCUGUGACCUGGUGCUGGGAUUUGGACCUGUUGCCUCCAUCAGACAGGGAACAGUCUCUAAAGUUGGAGAGAAAUUCCCAAUGCAGUAAAGGGUACUAUGGCAGUACAUUCUGGCAACAGGCUGGAAAGGAGCUGCCACGGGAUGUCCACCCACCCUGAGUGGGAACCUCCUCCUGAGGGACACACAGGGGGAAAAAAGCACCUCCUCUGCCUGCUCCAGGUGAGCUGAACCUCGGGGGCAAAGUGGAAAUUUUGGAUGUUUCCAUCAAAGUGAGACUUCGUGCCCGACCUUCUCCAGACCUUCCCGGCUUCCCGGCCAGAUCCCAGCAGGGCAGCACAGCGGGGUCCACGAUGUGCUCCCACCUCUUGGCAGAUAAUCACACUCAAAGCUGCAUCUUUUCAAUUUUAAGACCCCACUGAAAACCUUCUUAUUUGCAAGAUGUGAGUCCCAAUGGUGAUUUUCUAAGGAAGGCGAAUUAACAUUUUCCACCCACUGCACUUGCCCAGGGACAGCUCGUCACCAGUUUUUCCUCACUCUGCCUUCCAGUACUGAUGUGUCAACGUGGGGAAAGCUUGGAGUAUUUCAAUACUUCUGGGAUCGUUUUGGUAAAAUCUGAUGAUAUUGAAGGCAAUGGGGAAGGAAUAAUGUCCCUGUCAUAAUAAAUUAUUUUAUAUCCCAGUCCUCAGUGUGAGCCACCAACCACUCAGAACCAAGUGUGAAUAAACAGGAGUCUCCAGUAUGACCCUGUGAUGAUUUACUGAAUCGUUACUACAUGUAAGUAUCUACAAGCAGGAGCACCAACUCUCCAAUGCCAGCUGAUGAAUUCAAACAUGAACUGAAGUUUUAAAAACACUGAAGCCUGGGCAGUGUUUUUAACAAGAUGGAUUGGCAGUUUUAAUAAUUCCCAGAUCCCAAACACAUAUGAAAAGAGCCCUUGAUGAGAAAGGUCUGAUUACAAAUAACCUGCAGAGAGAUGAAAGUUCGUUUUUAAUAUCUGUUUUUUUAAGUCUGCUUUAGACUUUCAAGAGGCUUCAAAAGAAGGCAAAGACUAGAAAACAGUUUGAUUUAAUACUGUUAGAUGUGUGAAAUAAAAUGCUGGACAAUAAGAGAUGUAAAACAAGCAACAAGUGCAAGUGACUUAAAUCAAAUUAAAGAGCUAAUUGAAAA